UACGGAGGGCGCAAGCGUUGUUCGGAAUUACUGGGCGUAAAGCGCGUGUAGGCGGCUCGACAAGUCGGGUGUGAAAUCCCGGAGCUCAACUCCGGAACUGCAUCCGAUACUGUCGAGCUAGAGUCUCGGAGAGGAUGGCGGAAUUUCCGGUGUAGAGGUGAAAUUCGUAGAUAUCGGAAGGAACACCAGUGGCGAAGGCGGCCGUCUGGACGAUGACUGACGCUGAGACGAGAAAGCGUGGGGAGCAAACAGG
rnacentral:rRNA from 1 species